rnacentral:snoRNA from 1 species
GCUCCCAUUGCCUCGCUCGGUCACAUAAACCCCAUGUGUGAUCUUGAGCUGGAUGCCGCCCCCCGGGGCGGCAACGGGACAUAGCGACGUCUUCCAGGUUCAACUUUGAGUGCGCUUCCACCAUGGCAUGCCAAUGGUGGAACUGUAAUUAUUCGAACCUGACAUUG